UUAAAAUUUAAAUUGUUAAACUAAGGUAGUAUUAGUUAUGUUCUUGAAACUUAAAAGAUUUGGCGGUAUUUUAGUCUAUUCAGAGGAACCUGUUUUUUAAUCGAUAAUCCACGUUGAACCUAACUUAAUCUUGUUUUUCAGUUUAUAUACCGUCGUUAUAAGAAUAUUUUAUUAGAAUAAUAAUUUUCAAUAAUUUUUAUAAGAAUUUAUAUCAGAUCAAGGUGUAAUUUAUGAUUAAGUAAAAAUGGGUUACAAUAAAUUUAUUUAUUGGAUUUAAAUUUGAAAAAUUUAAUGAAAUUGGAUUUGAUAGUAAAUUUAUAUAGAUUAUUAAUUUGAUUCUAGCUCUAAAAUAUGY
rnacentral:rRNA from 1 species